rnacentral:rRNA from 1 species
UAACCCUUCUGUGAACCUACCUAUCGUUGCUUCGGCGGACUCGCCCCAGCCCGGACGCGGACUGGACCAGCGGCCCGCCGGGGACCUCAAACUCUUGUAUUCCAGCAUCUUCUGAAUACGCCGCAAGGCAAAACAAAUGAAUCAAAACUUUCAACAACGGAUCUCUUGGCUCUGGCAUCGAUGAAGAACGCAGCGAAACGCGAUAAGUAAUGUGAAUUGCAGAAUCCAGUGAAUCAUCGAAUCUUUGAACGCACAUUGCGCCCGCCAGCAUUCUGGCGGGCAUGCCUGUUCGAGCGUCAUUUCAACCCUCGACCUCCCCUUGGGGGGGUCGGCGUUGGGGACCGGCAGCACACCGCCGGCCCUGAAAUGGAGUGGCGGCCCGUCCGCGGCGACCUCUGCGCAGUAAUACAGCUCGCACCGGAACCCCGACGCGGCCACGCCGUAAAACACCCAACUUCUGAACGUUGACCUCGAAUCAGGUAGGACUACCCGCUGAACUUAA